rnacentral:lncRNA from 1 species
ACAGGGUUUCUCUGUGUAGCCCUGGCUGUCCUGGAACUCACUCUGUAGACCAGGCUGGCCUUGAACUCAGAAAUCCACCUGCCCCUGCCUCUCAAGUGCUGGGAUUAAAGGCGUGCACCACCACCGCCAGUCAAGAAUUUUUUUUUUUCUGUUGUCACUGGCAUCUCAGUCCUGUUCCACAGGUGACCACUAUAGUGGACAUGCUAAGCUUUUCUUUUUCUUUUGCAUGCAAAGUCGUGCAAGCUGUUAGGAUGAGAAAGAGGAGUUUUUCUCCACGGCUUCCCUUGAAGGACUUCAUUCCAUGAGCUUGCACUUAUUUCAAUCCUCACUCAGCCUCUUGAAAGUACCAGUGUGUUGAUCAGCGGACUUGGUCAUUGGGAUCAAGUUAAGAAAGCUGGAGGAUAAUUAGAAGCAGUGACCCGGAAGAUGGGACAGGUGACAGGAAACUUGACUAAUGGGUGUCCGCUCCCCUUCCCCUUACAGUCUGUUCUGUUCAGUUCAAAUUGCAAAAGGCAGCUACAGUCCGCUCCUUCACCCUACAUCAUUACACCCGAAUGGACCUUUAAAUCCCAUUCUGACCCACAGUGGAUUCUCCUCAUUGACGGCAGACUCCUCCCCCCCAUCCCCCCCAGAUUUCUGUGUAGUCUUGGUUGUCCUUGUGCUUGCUGUGUUAGACCAGGCUGGCCUUAGAGACACAGCAGCCUCUACAGCUGGAAUCAAAGCUGUGUGCCACCACUGCCUAGCAAGAUCAUUCUGAGUACUUUGUAGCUAUUUUUAGACACACCAGAAGAGGGCAUCAGAUCCUAUUACAGAUGGUUGUGAGCCACCAUGUGGUUGCUGGGAAUUGAACUCAGGACCUUUGGAUGAGCAGUCAGUGCUCUUAACCCCUGAGCCAUCAUCUCUCCAGCCCAGAUCUUUUUUUUUCGGUGUGUCAGGUAGCCCAGGCUGGUCUUAGACUUGAUAAAUGCGUGUAUGUAAACACUCAUUGGACUACAUUCUCAGCUGGCUGUUGACUAAUUCUGAGCAUGUUAAUAUUACAUAUUACUUUUAUUUAUAUAUAAUUUGUAAUAUAAUUGUGUCAGUAACCUUCACUUAUGUUUGUUCGUCUUAGUUACUUUUCCUAUUGCUGUGAUACUUCCCCCCCCCCCCCCCCCAGACAGGGUUUCUCUGUGUAGCCCUGACUGUCCUGGAACUCACUUUGUAGGCUGGCCUUGAACUCAGAAAUCCUCCUGCCUCUGCCUCCCAAGUGCUGGGAUUAAAGGUGUGCGCUACCACUGCCUGGCCCGCUGUGAUACUUGUGACUGAAGGGAGAAAGGGCUUAUUUUAUUUAGUUUGUGGUUCAAAAUUCUGGUAAACGGGGCAGUGAAGCGGCUUUGUGGAUUACAGCCUCACCAAGGAAGCAGAGAAGGAAGAGCUAGGGAAUGGAGCCACCCAUGGUGGGCAGGUCUUGCCACCUCCAUUAAUGGCAAUUAAGGUAAUUCCUUUCAGGUAUAUCCAGGGUCUGAUCUUCCAGGAGUUUCUAGAUUUUAAUCAAGUUAGUAAUUAUUUUGUUUGCUCAUCCAUCUGUUGAGGAGCGUUUGUGUGGUUGCCCUUUGUGGGGUGGGGGAAGUUUCAUUUGACCUCCAGCUUCCUGGAUUUCUAAGGGCCUGGUGUGCACUCUUCAUUCCUCGGCGUCCUGUUCCAGUUUACCUAUGGGAUGGGCGUUCUUUGUGCCCCUGUCAGGCUGCAGUUGGGCACCCACUCACCGUGUUCACGGAUCUGCCCGCUCCAGUGUGGUGGCUUUUUAGAGGUGGUGUUCAGAUCAUGGGUUCCACCUGGAAGGAAUCGACUCCAUGGUAGUUCUCCCUGACUGGUGGGCUGGUGGCUUGUUAGAAAGCAGUCUCUGUGUCGUGAAGAGCAGCUUGCGCUCUAGUUGGGACACACCAAGUCACUAGAAUCCUGCAUCAGAUAAGCCUCUUUACAAGCCUUUCUGAAGUGUCUGACAUUAGCGAUUAGUUUUGGCUUGCCUUGCUCUGAGACAGAGCUGGCCUUGAACUCGUGAUCCUCUCAUUUCUAACUUCCUGCUUUCAAGGCUUGCAGGCUAGUGUUUUAAAGUGUACAAUUGUUGCUCUUUAUUUACAGUAUACGACUUCAAGAUAUCUUAGAGCCUCAAAAUACUUAACAAUUGUGACUCAUUUUGAGGUUUUGUGCUCAUUUC